rnacentral:rRNA from 1 species
UACGGAGGGGGCUAGCGUUAUUCGGAAUUAUUGGGCGUAAAGGGCGCGUAGGCGGCUUAACAAGUCACUUGUGAAAUCUCCGGGCUUAACUCGGAACGGCCAAGUGAAACUGUCAAGCUAGAGUGCAGAAGGGGCAAUCGGAAUUCUUGGUGUAGCGGUGAAAUGCGUAGAUAUCAAGAGGAACACCUGAGGUGAAGACGGGUUGCUGGGCUGACACUGACGCUGAGGCGCGAAAGCCAGGGGAGCAAACGGG